GGCGUGGACAUCAACAGCAGAAAAUGGCUGCCGCUCUUUGACGUCAGUGCGAUUUGUACGCCUCGGCCAGCCUCAUAGCGGGCAUCACAGAGCAGUGGGUUCCGUUUAGGAUGGGUUAAGAUGCCUCCCGGAUUAUUCAAAAUGCAAGGAACGGUGUGUUCCGUCUGUGUUCGUGUUUUCAAAUGGUUUCCAGUGUUGUUCAUCACGACCAUAGUAGCCUGGUCCUACUACGCGUAUGUCAUCCAACUGUGUUUGUUUACCAUUGAGAACAUAAUCCAAAAAAUAUUUUACCUGAUUGGCUUUCAUGCCUGUUUCGCAAUGUUCGCCUGGUCGUACUGGCAGACCAUAUUCACAGAGCCAGGUACCAUUCCAAAGCAAUUCUACCUGUUGCCAGCGGAUGCUGAGCGCCUGGAAAAGGAACUCAGUGAAGAUAAUCAAAGGCAAAUGCUGGAAAGGCUUGCCAAGAACCUUCCUGUCUCAUGUAGGACCAUGAAUGGGAUGGUGAGAUAUUGUGAAAAGUGCCACCUCAUCAAGCCUGACAGAGCACACCACUGUUCAGUUUGUGGGAGGUGCAUACUGAAAAUGGACCAUCAUUGCCCUUGGGUGAACAACUGUGUGUCUUUCACAAAUUACAAGUACUUCAUCCUCUUCUUGGCCUACUCCUUAAUCUACUGCCUUUACGUGGCUGCUACAACACUGCAGUUCUUCAUCAAGUUCUGGACGAAUGACCUUGAAGGAUGGGGACGUUUCCACAUUUUGUUCUUGUUCUUCGUUGCUUUCAUGUUUGCCAUCAGCUUGGUCUCGCUGUUUGGCUAUCACUGCUUCCUCGUCAUGGUGAACCGCUCUACGCUCGAGGCAUUCCGCCCACCAAUAUUUCGCACUGGCCCGGACAAGCAUGGCUUCAGCCUUGGCCACCAGGCCAAUGUGGCCGAGGUAUUCGGUGACAACCGCCGUCUCUGGAUUCUACCAGUUUUCACAAGCCUGGGUGAUGGGGUGACUUAUCCAACACGCACCCAACUGGCCAGUUCGUACAACUCCAUGGGGAGCACGGAGCAGGCAAGGCGAAAAACUCGAUCCACAAGGGAAAGCAAGACUCUCCUGUUGGAUGAAUGCUUGGGAGACGGCGUCACCUUCCCACAAAAGAUUGUGGAUGAGGACACAGAUGGGCUCUUGAACCAAAGGCAGAGAUGGGCUGAAACUGAUGAAGAAGCGGGCCAUUCCGAUGCCUCUGGGAAUAGCAUGAAUGCAGAGGUCACAGCACUGCUUGAAUGAGCUGCUACCAACUCUGUGUGUGUACCUUUGCGUGCGGUAACACUGCUCCUCGUGAUAGGGAAUGCCAGCACCAGUGUCCAGAGCUGAAAAGAUGCACAUUGCAGAUGGUGAUCAUCCGGUCUAAGCAACCUGGCAUUUCCAAAGCAACGGCCCUG
rnacentral:misc_RNA from 1 species